rnacentral:lncRNA from 1 species
AAAUAAUGAUAUUAAACUUUAUGUGUCAUGGUUUCAAAAUAUUUGAAGCAUAUUUAAAUAUUUUAAUAUUAAAUAGUUAAAGGGUAAAGUGAUUAAAAAGGCACAGACUUGCUAUAAAAUAAGUCCUGGGCAUGUAAUAUAAACACCAUGUUGACUAUAGUUAACAACACUAUAUUGUAUAUUUGAAAGUUGCCAAGACAGUAGGUCUUAAAAUUUCUCAUCACAAGGGAAGAUUUUUGUUAAAAAAAUAUAUUUAAGGCAAAAAUUGACAGAAUUAUAAAGAAUUUGACUAACUCAGUUCUGGCAGGAGAUUUGCACAUGUCCUUUUUGGUAACCAAUAAAUCAAGCAGACAAAAAAAAAAUUCAAGGAUACAGAAGAUCUGAACAAUUCAAUCAACAAGCUUGAUCUAAUAGAUAUGAAUGAGACCUAACACAUAUAGGUCCAAACUAUAACAAAUAGAGAAUUAAUGACCUUGAUUUCUAAGUGUGUUAAAAUAUUUCAAAAAUGAUAGUUUUUAAGAAUAGAAUGUUUUAUAUACAAAAUAUAGCAUGACUAUAUAUGUAUAUUGAUAAAAAUCUGACACAAUGAAAACUUUAUAUGGUUUUAAUGUAUGCAAUAAAGUAUAGAAACCUAGGUGAAUUGGAUGGUGGUUGUCUCUGAGAAGAAAGGAAGUAGAAUGACUCAAAGACAGGCUCAAAGUCUGGAAUGAUUAAUUUCUUACCAAUAGUUAAAAAGAGAUCUAAAGCAAAGACAGCAAAAUAUUGUUAACAUGCUAUUAAUUCUGGGUUGUGAUUAUUUGGGAUCUGUUAUCUGUAUGUUUGAAUAUAUGAAAGUAUUUUUUAAAAAGCGAGAAAAUCUUGUGGAAGAAUUAAUUGGUAGAUAAGAACUUGCUUUUGGGAUGAUAUGUCUUGUCUUAUCUUGAUAUAUUGAUGUAAGCUUGAUAUUAUGGACUCUGAAAUACCAAGAAGAUCUUAAUAUAAGCAACAGAGUGUAGCAAUUUUUUGGAUUAUCUAAGAUCAUUCUCUAUAACUGAAACAGUUUUGGGGUAGUUUAUCCAAAGUACUGUAGAGUCUGCUUCCUUUAUCAGUAAGGCCAGGACUGAUCACUUUUAAUGUGUUGUGGUGAACCUCACAUAUCAUAGAGUUGUUGCAGGAAUUAAAGAAGUAAUAUAUGCCAGGUAUAUAAUAUAAAUCAACAACAAAAUUGUGCUGUAAACAUUAAGUAUACAAUCAGAAGAAACCAAUCUAGCAAUGCCUAAAGAGUCAAUAAGGGUGUGCUAACAUGAUCCCAGUAGUUCACAUAGCCAUGUUUUCAUUCAUGUGUGAAAGGUAACCUAAAAAGAAACUUUAAAUAUACAAGGAAUCCUACAAUAUUAUCAUCUGUGUGUUCUCUCUAAGAAACUUACCUGAACAAAAAGAGUCAUUCAUCAAUAAAAGAGCACUCUCUUUGUUUUUGUUUAAUGUUCUGUAUAUUGUGUUCACUUUUGCCCAACUUUGUUGUUACUCUGGUUGUCUCUUUUUAUUUGUAUAUUUCUGAUUUUCCUUUGCCUACCCUUUUAUAUUCAUGCUAUGAAUUACAGUGUUUUAGAUACCAUCUUGUGUAUAGUAAACAGUUGGGACUUUUACCUCCUUCCAAUUUAGGAGUCAAUUUCUUUUAAAAGGUAGUUAUCUCACUUUCAUUACUGUAUGGAUGUUUGGAGUUAAUUCUCUUGUAUUCAUGUUUAUUUAUGUAUGGUCCUGUUUUUGGCUUUCUUGUUGUGUCCUGUUUCUUCUCUGUUGAUAUAUAAUAUCUGUUUCCUUUGUACCCCAUCCCAACUCCUCCAUCAUAUCUCAGUAACUUGAAAUUGUAUACUGCAGCAUAUUUUUAGUUCUACUAGUAAUUAUCUCCCAUUAAUUCCAAUAUUCUCAUAUUAACAGCCUGAGGAAUAAAAUGAUACAUUUUGAUCUCCUCUUAUAGUUGAUGAGGAAUUAGCAAAUAUGGAGUUUUUUUCUUUUAAAAAUUUUUUUCUAUUGUUAGUGUGUCAUUAAUUUUUUGUCUUUAUAUUAUAUAGCUUUUUUUUUUUUUGUCUUUUUUUUGCUAUUUCUUUGGGCCGCUCCCACAGCAUAUGGAGGUUCCCAGGCUAGGGGUCGAAUCGGAGCUGUAGCCACCGGCCUACGCCAGAGCCACAGCAACGCAGGAUCCGAGCCACGUCUGCAACCUACACCACAGCUCACGGCAACGCUGGAUCGUUAACCCACUGAGCAAGGGCAGGGACCAAACCUGCAACCUCAUGGUUCCUAGUCGGACUCAUUAACCACUGCGCCAUGACGGGAACUCCUUAUAUAGCUUUUGUUUUAACAAUAGCAAUGGUAUUCUCAUUUGUAGAGAGCUAUAUAUUACACCAUAACUUGGGCCUGACAUAGCAGGAAGAUUAAAAAAGAGACAAAAUGAAUUUGAACAAUUAUUAAAUAUAUAUUCAUUAAUAAAAUGUAUCAUUCUUAAUGCCCUUCAAAAAAAAAAAACCCAAAUAGUUUAAAUGUUGUGAAACAUUUACAAAAAUGAUCACACAUUAGUCCACAAAUAAAACCUUAAUAAAUGCUUUAGAUUGGAAAGAAUGCAACUAUAAUCUUCUGAUCACAAUGCAAUAAAAAUUAGAAGUCCAUGACAAAAAAGUAAUAAACAAUAAAAAUUAUUUUCAGAUAUUUUAGAAAUUGAAUAAACAUUUAGAAAAGUAAACAUUUCAAACAUUGAGAAGAGUAAAUACUUUUUAAAACUUUUCCAAAAUAACUCUUAGAUGAAAUAGACAAAUGAAAUAAAUUACAAAUACAUAAAAAUUAACGAGAAUUAGAGCACUAUUUCACAAAUAUAUGAGAUUUUAGCAAAGCUGCAUUCAGAGGAAAUAUUUAUAACUUUGGAUACCUUCACUGCAUAAAAAAAUGAAUAAAAAUAAUGAACCCAAUUUGUGAAGUUAAAAAAUAGCAAAGUCUAAGAAAGCAGCAGAAAAGAGUUAAAGAUAAACGCAGAAAUAAAAACUAAGUAGGAGAAAAUAUAAAGUAAAAAAGCAUUUUUUAUAAAUAUAAGGAAGAUAAAAAAUUAAGAUUAAUAAAAUAGGCACAGAUACGGUCUAAAAAAUGGAAUAUGAUAAACAAUUACCUAGAUUAAUCAAUAUAAGAGUUUUUUUUAAAGCACCACAGUGUAGAAAAAGUAGGAAAGUAGAUGUAGAUAAAGAAGAAAUAAGAUUUAUAAAAUAUUUUUUUCAGUAGUAUAAUAAUGUUUGAAAAUAUUUAUGAAAUAUAUAAAGCUAUGGAAAAGUAAAAAUAUCGAUUGGUUGAAAAAAAGACAGAAGUGAUAAGUACAUUAAUAAAUGCAGAUGAUUAGAAACUUUUGUCUAAAACUAUACCUCAGAAAUUCAAGACUGGGAUGACUUUAUGGGUGAUUUAUUUUAAAUCUUCAAAGAAAGGAUAACUCUGAUAAUAUUUAAAUCUUUUAAAACAUUAGGGAUUGAGGAAACCUUCUGACCUGUUUUUAAAAACCAUAUUAUGAUAUUGAUACUUAAAUUGGACUUUGAUAUUGCAAAAAAAGAAAAGUAUGCCAAAUUCCAGUCUCACUUGGGAAAUGUUGAUGUGAAAAAAUAAAUCUUAAGAUAUUACCACACAGAAUGCAGUAGUAUAUUGAAAUACACACACCAUUACCAAGAUGGUUUCAUUCCAUGAAUGCAAAUCUGGCUCAAUAUUAGGACUACUACUGAAGUUCACUCUAAUAAUUGGUGAAAGUAUGAUUAAUUUGAUAGCUUCCUGCAAAGGCACUUGAUGAGAUUUAGUAUCUAUUAUUAAUAAAAUCUCUUGGUAACCUGAGAAUGGAAAGAAACUUCCUAAAUAGACUAAGGAGCAUUAGAAUCCAGCAGCAAACAUUUAAUAGUGGACUCCUAGAGAUAUUUUCUUUAAAAUCAGGGAAAAAGCAAGUUGGAACCCAGUUUACUACUAAGAAAUAGCCUACAUCCUCCAGGAAUAAAAGUCUAAGGGGAGCACUAGCAUGCUUAUCUAGGAAAGGUGCAGAGUUUUUAGGAGCUGUGAUCAAGUGAACAUUUCUGGGAUCAGUUUUUGAGAAGUAACUAGAGGAAAUCUUCCCCAGACCCUUCCAAACACUAACAAAGCUCUGUAAUCCCAAAUGAUGAAAGUUGCUGCAUUGGGUCACUCCAAAUUCCUUAGCUCACGGUAAUCACUGACUGAUAUUCCACUACCUGGAAAUCUAUUGAGGUUAACAAGCAUUUAGUCAUAUACUUAGGAGGCACAGGAGUAACUAACUUCUAAUCACUAACACUACAGUGAUGAAUAUUUCUAAAUAGGCUUUCACAUCACUGACGCAUUAAAGGAAGAUGAUGGAGCUGGUAUUUGUUGAAUGCUUAACCACAUGUCAGGCACUGUUCUAAUUAUUUUAAACAUACUAUCUCAUUUAAUCUUCACAAUAACCAUAUUACAUAUAAAGAAACAGAGGCACAGUGAUGAGAUAUAACUUACCCAGAGUCACACCACUAGUAAGUAGUGAGUAUGAGAUUCAAUAUCAAGCAACUGAUUGCCUGGGUCACUGCUCUGCUCCACUCCACUGGGCUGUCCUGGUGUUUGGAGGGCAAAUGGUCUAUGUUUGGCUUUUUGACCCUUCAAAGAAAUUGAUUUUUAAAAAUUUAGUGAGGGCUAUCUAUGUGCAAGUUACCGUCAAGUCUCUGUAGCUGAUAAACUCAUGAAUCUAACAUAUUUCUUUCCCUCAGGAAACUUAUUCUCUAGAAAAGCAGACAAUACCUGUGAAUAACCAAUUAUACUCCAAGACUGAAUAUAAGGUGCUUGGCUGUGAUUGUGGGUAGGUUAUAGCUCCUCAGAUUACAUUUUGGGAUGUGGAGGCAGAGAACCUUCUUGGGAAUACCUAUGCUCUUUAGAAUUUCCCCCUUUCUGUUUAUGGACACAAAUCUUUAGUGAUAUUAUUUGAAAUAUAUAGUGAGUUCUGUGCUCUCAGUAUUUUGAACACGUCAUAAAAAGGCAAAGAGAUGUUUUUCCCCCAGGCAUUUUAUUACUCAUGUCACCAAGGGAAAGAUUUGGGGAGAAACUUAGUAGGUAAAUGAUAAAUAAAUAUGACUAAGUAAUAUGCAACUUUAACCCUCACCCCUUUCAAAAAAUGAAAUGAAUGAUAUCAUCAUAAAAAGAAAGACACUGUAAUUUAUUGUCUAAUUUGGAUAACUCACUGGGAAAAAACUUGAUAGUUAUAGAAGGGUGAGAGAAAUCAGUCCUGCUGGAAUUGCUCUUUCAGUUGUCAGCACAUUUUAAUGAAAUGCCAGUCUUUUCAUGCCAAAUUCUGAAGGAAACCUCUGGGUACCAAUUGCUGAAAUUAUUUCACUCCCAAAUUGAGUCUAAACUAAAAUAAAACCUUUCCCAUUUUGCAGAGCACAGCACUCUACAAGUUCAAAAGGUAAGACAUACUUUCAAUAUGUAUAAAUGGUGAAACACAUUUGAAAAUAAAAUUUUUAAUUAUGUUUGACAUCUCAGGCCCAGUGCAGUUAUCCUAUAAGAAAGUAACAUCUGUUUUGACAUUUCUAGUGGUAGAAAUUUUAAGUUGGUUUCUACAUUGCUUAUCUGCUGGCUAGUCAGAAUGGAUGUGGCAUUCUUCUUAGCAACUCAUUCGCAGGGAAGAAAGAAAAGAUAUGCAGAGAAGUAUGACUGGUCUCAAACUGGUGUGUGAAUUUAAAUGAAAAUUCUAAACUCCUUUGAAUAUAUUGUAUCUAUGUUCUAACUCAGUGCAAAAUUUGAAAAUGUUCAUUUAGUUCCUAAAUAUAUGUUUUUUUUUUAUUUUUGAUAUAUGCCUUUUGCUUUGACUUAAAACUGAUAGAAUGUUAAAGCAUAUAUUACUUCUCAAGCCAUUUGGUUUGAUCUCAAAUUCAAGGUUUUAUUUGAAAAAAUUUGAUUUGCUGUUAUCAAUAAGAAGUAUUAUAAAAGUAGCUGAAAUAGUUUUUUUAUGUUGUGUUUCAAAUUGCAGUUUUCA